AGAAACCGCAUUUCCUUUCCUUCUAGCUUCAUGGUCGGCCAGUUGCUGCAGAGGAAACAACCGAAAACUUCUCAAACAUUUCCUCUACAAACUUCACCUCAAAAAUCUUGCCAAACCUUCAUAGAUUCACCACACAAGCUCAAGACAAUUUGGACAAUCACUUGGACAAAGAAAGAGCUGCACAUUCACGGAUCUUCUUGGAGUUUUAGGGGCACCAAAAUCUGACUUUUUAGCACACAAGUAAGGUAACCAUGAUCCACUCUUCAGAUCUUGUUCAAUAAAGGCCAACUUACACUUAAGAGCUUGAUUAUGCUUAUGGGUAACUUAUUAUCGUUGAAAAUUGUUAAAUGUGGGCUCUAUGAACUCCCACUUUGGGUUGAUGACUGUGAUGAUGUUUGAUGAUAGUUUUAUUGCUGAAAUACUGCUUAAGGAAGUAGAUUAAAGGUGCAUUAUUUCCAGAAACGUUAUUGAGUUCUUGAAGCAAAAAGUUCCGAUUUUACCCCUGCUCUGUUCGGUCACUUUACUGCAGAUAAUUGAGGAUUUAAAGGCUUGAUUAUGUUGUUUACAUGUUGUAGAAGUUGUGUACAAAAUUUUGUUGAAAAAUAUUGAGUUUUGAUUGCUCAAACGAAAUUAUUUCGAAAACUGGUAAUCUGGAAAACGGUUUCGCCGUAAUCCAGACCAGUGGUUGUAUUUUGUCCAUAACUCCGUGCUCCAACGUCGAAAUCAAGUGCCGUCAGCGGCAUUUGAAACUAGACGUUCCCAUGUUUCCAACGGUGUAUAAUGAACAUUCUGGUUCUAUGUGUGUGAGCCACACCAUUCAUCUGAAGUCGGCUGUCCUGUUUCUCCGUUCUGCCGAAAUGAUUUGAUGAUACUGCAACUUGAGGCUUGAUUUUGAACCAGUUGCAUGCUGAAACUUAAAACGAUUUCUUCUGUGAAGUUGUAGCCCUAUGAAUGUAUUUUCUAACACUAUCAACCAUUUCCAAUUCCGAGUUAAAUUGAGGGAGUUAUGAUCAAUACACGGAAACUGCCUCGUUUUUGAAAACCUUAGCUUUGGACAGAUUGCUUUAAGGAUUUUUCCAAACUUUGGUUGAUUGAAUGAUCACCCUUCCGAGGGUAUUUUUCCAUGAAAUUUGAUAGAGAGAUAACCUUCAUAUGGAAGUAUUAUACUGCAAAAUUUGGUGUCAAUCCAAGUCCGUUUCGGCACUUAACUAAAGGUCCAAAGUUGGAACCAAAUCUGGAAAUUUUGUAACAAUCUUGAAUUUUUCCCAACUUUGAGCUACCGUAUCUUGGUAUUCGGAACUCCGAUUCUUGAGCCGUUUGUUCUGUCCAAAACUUUACUUGCACUUCUAAUUGAGUUAUAAGUUUCAAGGGCUGGUUUGCAAAGAGUGAUUUUUGCCGAAUUUCCAAAGUUAGCGAAAAACCAACCCGGCUCAAUCCUAGCAAUCUAGAACAGCAACUUUAGGCUCAUUUUUUAAUACCUUCCACUUAGAUUCAUGGAAUGGUGUCUUCUAAGAACUUUUAGUACUUUCAAAGACGAUUCCAAUGGUACCAAAUUUAUCAAGUUUCGAUUAGUAGAAAAGAAGUUAUGAUUUUUCAAAGAUUUGACCAAAAAUCGAAAAUUCUGAAAUUCCAAAGGAAAUUCGCGAAGGAGCAAUUUCACCAGAAUCCGGCCUUGAAUCCGGCCAGAAACUGGCCGGAUUGUCGGCCGGAUUGGUGGCCAAAAUUGAAAAAAAAGGAGGUUAGCCACUGCCUCCAAUCCGGCCAGAAAUCCGGCCGGAUAUCCGGCCAGGUUCCGGCCGGAUUGUGACGUGGCUAACCUUCCUUCGAUUUCGAUCGUUCGUUUUGCAAUCUUUUCGCUUGUACUUGUUUCCAACCAAUGAUUUUAAGGAUAAUAAUCCAAUUUUUGUACUUAAGUUUUACACCCUUUUGAGAAUUCAACUUCAAAGGCAAGUCAAACGAAGUUUUCAAUUAUUUUCGAACAUUACUCGUGUUCAAUCUUUCUCACCACUUGGGGACCUACAGUAAUUAUCUAAUAUACGAUGUUCAGGCACGCACGAGGACCUCCAAGAGGACCCUACUGUGGAAGUUUGAACUCUCCCUCCAACUUACUAGCUUGCAUAACUUGGUGAGUGUCAAGUGUAUGCCUACUUGAACUCUAAAGACUUGAUUCAUGCUUGAUUCACCUGAUUUCAUGCUUAGCUUAACUGAUUUUGACAAAAUGGAGUCGAGUGUGUACUUGAUCGCACUCGUUCUCAUUUGAAACGAAUGACUCAUGCUUAACAUGAUUUGCUUGGUUUACAUGACUUGAAAUGUCUGCUUAAACCCAUCAAAUGAUUGAAUACAUGAAAUGGUAUGCUAUGAUUGCAUACGUCGAUGGAGUGAAUCUCCUCGACAUUUACAUGACAAAUGGGGGACGCCCAAACUCAUAGGCCGACCUUGGAACUCGAGCCGGCAUGGGCUUGGUCGGGAACCUCGGUGAGCCAUGAGAUUCAAAUGAUAAGCUUGAUCUAUUGAGAGAUCUCGCUUGGCAUACUCGUAUAGUAUCGCCUUAUAAAUGUAGUGCGGGCCCGAAGUGGUGUAUGGUGGACGGAUGGGAAGUAAGUGGUGAACUACGGAUAUGAAAAUAUCAAUCCGGUUGACGGAGAGUCAUCACGGAAAGAUAUAUAAAUGGUAUCGGCAAAUGUGGAACUUAACUCCUGAGAGCUUCUAUAUCCUUGAAUUGUUUCUGGUUACAGUUUAUUGGUGUUAUUAAUUACUUGCAAGCUAAUACCUGAAUUGUUAUUUGGGCUUGUUAUCUGAACUAUGUGUUUGCAUGUGUGUUCUUGGCCUCACGAGCGUUUUGCUCACCCUGUAGAUUUGUUUUCCUUAACAGGUUGAGUUCGGAGGUAAAAUGGAGCAGCCCUCUUGAUGUGCUUUUGUUUUAGGGUUGCUAUUACUUUUGGUUAUGCCUUGAUUUUGGGAUUGUACUUUUGGUACGGAAAUGUAACCUUUGGACGAAAUGUAUUUUGUAUACCGACGUGUGGUUUGGAGAAUGGAUGACUAUUAUUAAGUUUGAACGUUUCCGCAUUUUAUUGUAUCUAAGUUAUUGGCUUGUAUUGUGUGGUCCAGCUAUAAGUUGAAUGGAAUUGCUUGAGUCCUGGCGAGAGUUAGGCAGGCGUCCCGCGGAUACCCUUUGGUUCGCCUUAGGGAGAAGUGGGGGCGUUACAAGCAUGAGUUUCUUUAUUUGGAAAGUACACUAAAAUGUCAUCAAUAAACAUCACCAUAAAAUGGUCUGGUUACAGUUUGAAUAACUAUUCAUCAGAUCUGUAAAGGCUGCCGGAGCAUUGGUUAAUCCAAAGGGCAUCACAAAAAACUCAAAGUGCCCGUAUCUCGUACGAAAUGCACUUUUUUGGAUGUCUUCGGCUUUAAUCUUUAAUUGAUGGUAUCCAGAUUUCAAAUCUAUUUUAGAAAAUACUUUAACUCCCUUCUAUUGGUCAAAAAGAUCAUCUAUCCUUGGAAAAGGGUAUUUGUUCUUUAUUGUGAUUCGAUUCAACUCUCCAUAAUCGAUACACAACUUCAGGCUACCAUCCUUUUUCUUUACAAAGAAUACUGGUGUACCCUAAGGGGAAACACUAGGUCUAAUGAACUUCUUAUCUAGUAGUUCCUGUAAUUGUUCCUUAAGUUUCUUUAAUUUUGCAGGCGUUAUUCUAUAGGGGUCCUUAGAUAUAGGAGUCGCCUCAGGUCAUUCUAAAGACGUCUCCUCUUUCCCCGUGUCUAUAACAUAAGCCAAAUAUGCCUCACACCCUUUUCUUAUUGCCCUAUACAUCUGCAUGGCAGAUAGAAGAGGUAACUUACGAAUUUUCCUGUCACCAACAAUUCCUUGAUAAGAGAAAUCCUUCUCGCUCGAUUUCAUGAAUAACACCCUCUUCUUCUUACAAUCAAUUUGUGCAAAAUGUCUAGCUAGCUAAUCCAUUCGUAGGAUAACAUCAAAAUCACUCAUAUUUAUUUGUACUAGAUCCACAUCUAAUCUCCUAUCCUCCAAUUUCACACUUCAGUUUGGAUACCUAGUAUGAGACACUAGGAUUCUAUUUCCUGGAGCAGCCACUCAGUAGGGGUGGUUCGUCCAUUCAGGAGACAUGCACAAGUACUUUGUAAAAGAGUGACUAGCUCCACAACCAAAUAGCACGUAUGCAGGCACAGAAUUAAUUAGAAGAGUACCCGUAACCACGUCGCCUGCCACCUCCGCCCCAACAUCGGUCAUGGCAUGCACUCUCGCGUUAACUUUUGGCUUCUUAUCAGUGAGAUUGCCACUCUUAUCUCGUUCUACCUUCCUAUUUGGACUAUUCAUAGCUCUAUGCCCCUGCUGUCCACAUUCAAAACAAGUUCCUGUUCCAACUCGACAUUCUCUUCGGUGUAUCUUCCCAUAAGUUUUACACGUGGGGAAAGUUGUUUUAAGCCGGCAUUCUCCCCGAUACAUCUUUCCACAAGUUUUGCACAAAGCAAAGGUGUUUCCACUAGUUAUCUUUUGUGGUGACCCGCGACCUUUCUUAAUUAAGCGUAACUGUCAGCCAGGUUUCAGUGCUCCCGCCACUGCAAGUUCAUUCCCUAAUCUAGGCCUUUUAUUCCUACUCUCUUCAUCUAAUCUUUUGCAAUCAGUCUCAACUUUAAUGCUGGCGUCCAACACAUCAUUAAGCGUAGGGGUAUAAGAGGUGUUCACCUUAGUUUGAAUUCUACUCGACAACCUCCUUAUAAACUUAUACUUUUUCAACUCCCCAUCUACCAUUAUUGAUGGGACGAACCUUCCUAAUGUCAUGAAUUUAUUCGAAUACUGCACCACAAAAAUUCUUGGAGUUUGUUUCAAAUUGAAAAUUGAUCUAUCUUUUGCAUCCGUACAGCCGGUGGGAAAAAGUAUUUGAGGAACUACUUUCUAAAUUUUAUCCAACUUACUUGUGGGGCGACAGUAGGUUCCAAAGUUGCCCACCACUUAUUGGCUUCUCCUACCAAAAAGGGUUUGAUGAUUAGGUGUUUCAUCUCCUCCGACACUUGCAAAAGUGUAAAAUUAUUUUCUAUUUCAUCUAACCACUUUUCUGCCAAAUCCGGGUCAGGAGUUCCAUCAAAGGUAGGGACAUGGACCCUUUUUAUUUUGUCAUAAUAUGAUUGAGUUUCCCCUUUUCCAUGAUUUUGGGUUUGAACAGUCUGAAUCUGUGCUAAUUGUGUCUGGGCUUUUAAUGUUUGGGCUACCUCGAUUAGUGCAAUCACUAAUUUUGCGGGUAACAUCAGAUAAGGUUGAUGCCCACUUGAUCCAGCCUCUUAGUAACCCAUAUUCUAAAGGUCUCCUUUUGGAAUCCGCCCAACUCUUGUUUUGGUCCUAAACUACUUUUAAUCUUCUUCGAAUAAUCUUAAUUUUUUUCAAAGUUCUUUCUACCAAAUCAAGACCAGUGAUCAGUUUCUCACCAACUUCAUCCCAAUAUAAGGGGGAUCUACACUUUCAUCCAUACAAUGCUUCAAACGGUGCCAUACCUAUAUCACUAUGAUAGUUAUUAUUGUACAAGAAUUUCAUUAGUUUCACCAACCUAUCCCAAUUGUUCGAGAAAUCUAGAGUACAAGUUUUGAGCAUGUCUUCUAGUGUCUGUAUGGUCCUUUCCGAUUGUCUAUCUGUUCGAGGGUGGAAGGUGGUACUUAAUCUCAAUUUAGUCCCCAUAACUUCUUGAUAGGUCGACCAAAAUAUAAAUGUGAAUCUAGGGUCUCGAUCAGAUACUAUAUUUACUGGAACACCAUGAAGACAUACGGUUUCCUCCAUAUACAUCUCUACCAACCUCUCCAUUGUAACCCCAUUCAACAUUGGUAGAAAGUGGACAGAUUUGGUUUGCCGAUCGACUAUAACCUAAAUGGCAUCGUUAUUCCUAAUCGAUCGAGGAAACCCUACCACAAAAUUCAUUGCCACAUGUUCCUACUUCCAUUGGAGAAUUUUCAAGGGUUGCAAUAAGCCGACAGGUCUUUGAUGCUCGGUCUUUACUUGUUGGCAUACCAGAUAUCGCUACAUAUUCCGCUAUUUCUCGUUUCAUCUCAUUCCACCAAUAAUUCCUAUUCAAGUCUUGGUACAUUUUAGUCCCACCAAGGUGAAUUGAAAAUCUCGAAUUGUAUGCCUCCUUUAACAAUUCCUGCUUCAAUCCUUCAUUCCUUGGCACACAUAAUCUACUAUUUUUCCACAAGCUCCCAUCAUUUUUCAAUUCCCUAUCGAAGGGUUCCACUCCAAGUUUUUCAUUUUUUUUAGUGUAAGCGGGAGGAAUCGAACCCGAGACCUGUUGUUUACACUCCCUCCCCCCGUACCACUCAACCUAACAUUUCCUCCCCGCACUCUAAGUUUUUCCUUAAUCUUUGCAAACCCGUCAUUAGAAUGUCGUGCUUCUUUAAUCCUAUCUAUUAAAGUCGAUACGACCACUAAGGUAGCUAGCAUUUGAACCAUAGAGUCCACCAUUUUCACUUCAAAAUUUUCCAUUUGAUCCUUUACUGUGAGUUCUCUUAAUACCCUUGACUUCCUACUGAGGGCGUCUGCUAUCCGGAUGGUAACUGAUUGUCAAAUCAUAAUCUUCAAUUAGUUCUAACCACUUUCUUUGUCUCAUGUUCAAUUCCCUUUGAGUAAAUAGAUACUUGAGACUCUUGUGAUCGGUGAAAAUUUCACAUUGCACACUAUAUAAGUAAUGUCUCCAUAUUUUCAACGCAAACACUAUUGCCGUCAAUUCCAAAUCAUACGUGGGAUAAUUCUGCGCGUACGAUUUUAGUUGGCGGGAAGUAUAAGCAAUUACUCUCCUAUUUUGCAUCAAAACACAUUCUAAACCAUUUUUAGAAGCAUCACUAUAAAUUGCAAAUCCUUCCGUUCCAGAGGGUAGGGUAAGUAUUGGGCUGACAAUAGUUUCUCCUUUAACCUCUGGAAACUCAUUUCACAUUUAUUUGUCCAUUCAAAUGUUGCUCUCUUUUGAGACAAUCUUGUAAGAGGCAUAGCAAUGGUGGAGAAUCUUUCUAUAAAUUUUCGAUAAUAGCCGGCCAACCCUAAGAAACUCCUCACUUCGGUUACAAUAGUGGGCCGUGGCCAUUCUACAAUUGCUUCCACUUUCUUUGGAUCAACGGACACCCCUUGAGCUGAUAUCACCUGUCUUAAGAAGGUCACACUUUUCAACCAAAAUUCACAUUUACUAAAUUUAGCAUACAAUUUCUCUCUUCUUAGUCUCUCUAGGACUUCCUUAAAGUGGGUAGCAUGAGUUUCUUCAUUUGGGAAGUAUACUAGAAUUUCAUCAAUAAACACCACCAUAAAACGGUUUAGUUGCAGUUUGAAUACACGAUUCAUCAGAUCUGUAAAGGCUGCCGGAGUAUUGGUUAAUCAAAAGGGCAUCACCAAUAACUCAUAGUGCCCGUAUCUCUUGCGAUGCAAGUUUUGGGAUGCCUUCGGCUUUAAUCUUUAAUUGAUGGUAUCCAAAUCUCAAAUCUAUCUUAGAAAAUACUUUAGCUCCCUUUAAUUGGUCGAAAAGAUCAUUUAUCAUUGGAAGGGGGUAUUUGUUCUUUAUUGUGAUUCGAUUCCCUAUAAUCGAUACACAAUCUCAGGCUACCAUACUUCUUCUUUACAAAGAGUACCGGUGCACCCCAAGGGGAAACACUAGGUCUAAUGAACUUCUUAUCUAGUAGUUCCUGUAAUUGCUCCUUAAGUUUCUUUAAUUUUGCAGGCAUCAUUCUAUAUGGGGCCUUAGAUAUAGGAGUCGCCUUAGGUAUAACAUUUAUUUCAAACUCUAUUUCUCUACUCGAAGGUAGACCAGGAAGGUCUUCCGGGAACACGUCAGAAAAGUCCUUCACCAUUGAAAUCUAUUCUUGAUAAUUUACGAAUUUCAUACGAAUUUUCCUAUCACCAACAUUUCCUUGAUAAGAGAAAUCUUUCUCGUUCGAUUUCAUGAAUAACACUCUCUUCUUCCUACAAUCAAUUUGUGCAAAAUAUCUAACUAGCCAAUCCAUUCCUAAGAUAACAUCAAAAUCACUCGUAUUUAUUUGUAGUAGGUCCACUUCUAAUCUCCUAUCCUCCGAUUUCACACUACAGUUUGGUUACCUCGUAUGAGCCACUAGGAUUCUAUUUCCUGGAGUAGCCACUCGUUAGGAGUGAUCCGUCCAUUCAGAAGACAUGCACAAGUACUUUGUAAAAGAGUGACUAACUCCAUAAUCAAAUAACACGUAUGCAGGCACAAAAUUACUUAGAAGAGUACCUGUGACCACGUCGCCUACCACCUCCACCUCAACAUCGGUCAUGACAUGCACUUAACUUUUGGCUUCUUAUCAGUAAGAUUGUCACUCUUAUCUUUUUCUAUCUUCCUAUUUGGACAAUUCAUAGCCCUAUGCCCCUGCUGUCCACAUUCAAAACAAGCUCCUGUUCCAACUCGACAUUCUCGUUGGUGUAUCUUCCCAAAAGUUUUAUACGUGGGAAAAGUUGUCUUAAACCAGCAUUCUCCCCGAUGCAUCUUUCCACAAGUUUUGCACACAGAAAAGAUGUUUCCUCUAGUUAUCUUUUGUGGUGGCCUACGAUUUUUCUUAAUUAAGCGGAACCAUCCGCCAGGUUUCAUUGCUCCCGCCACUGCAAGUUCAUUCCUUAGUCUAGGCCUUUUAUAUCUACCCUCUUCAUCUAAUCUUUUGGCAAUCAGUCUCAACUUUAACGCUGGCGUCCAACACAUCAUUAAGCAUAGGGGUAUAAGAGGUGUUCACCCUAAUUUGAAUUCUACUCGACAACCCCCUGAUAAACUUAUAUUUUUUCAACUCCCCAUCUGCCAUUAUUGAUGGGACAAACUUUUUUAAUAACAUGAAUUUAUUCGAAUACUGUACCACAGACAUUCUUAGAGUUUGUUUCAAAUUUUCAAACUGAUCUAUUUUCUGCACCCUUACAACCGGUGGGAAAAAGUAUUUGAUGAACUUUUCUCUAAAUUUUGUCCAACUUACUGGUGGGGUGACGGUAGGUUCCAGAGUUGUCCACUAUUUAUUUGCUUCUCUUACCAAAAACAAGUUUGAUGAUUAGGUAUUUUAUCUCCUUUGGCACUUGCAAAAGUGCAAAAUUAUUUUCUAUUUCAUCUAACUACUUUUCUGCCAAAUUCGGGUCAGGAAUUCCAUCAAAAGUCGAUACAUGAACCCUUUUCAUUUUCUUAUAAUAUGAUUGAAUUCUCCCUUAUUCAUGAUUCUGGGUUUGAACAGCCUGAAACUGUGCUAAUUGUGUCUAAACUUGUAAUGCUUGGGCUACCCAGAUUAGUGCAGUCACUAAUUCUGCGGGUAACUUCAUGUAGGGUUGAUGCCCACUUGAUCCAGCCUCUUGGUAACCCAUAUUCUGAUUAUUAUUUCGUUGAUAUGGUUCUUAGUUAUGAUUACCGUGAUCGUUUUCACCAUUAGGGUUGCCAUUGUGAUUUCCGCCACGUCUAGUGUUUGGUGCCAUUUCCUAAAUCAAACAGAUAAGUUCUACACGAAAGUAAGUAUUCUAUUCUUAUUUAUUAUUAUUAUUAUUAUAUAUAUGAAUAUAUAUUUUUAAGAUGACACAACUAAAGUUAUCUACUUGUAUAUUUUAUGCAUACUAUCUCAUAAAAUAAAAUAGGUGAAUAAAUAAAUUUAAAAAAUUUAAAAUAGAGAUUUUAUUCAUUAACUCAAGAUGAAAAGAACGGUCGACUUCUUACACAUCGAAAUCAAUAUCCUAACUUAUUCUAAAAAUAUCUAACGAAUCUAGUGUCUAAACCGUCUAAUUAUAAUCUACGAUUGGAUUAAAAAACUAAUCAAUGCAAACAAUCACUCACCAACCUACUAUUGUUCUUGAAAUAGUAUCCCCUAAGACUAAUAAAAUAAAUGAAUCAUUAAAUAGAAUCUCUCUUAGACUAACUCUACUGCUCAUCCGCUGGUGGGUCUGUAUCCACAAUUGCUCCGUCUCCUACACCUCCCUUAGCACCGUUUUGGUUCUCAACUCCAUUUUCCCCCUUAUGAUUUUCUACGGGCAUGUUCUUAGGAUUCUCCUCGGGGUCGUCAUCUAGUUCCACGUCACUAUCAGGCCACAGGUG
rnacentral:lncRNA from 1 species